AGGAAACUGCAGUCUCUCUGUUUCUAGAACCUUCCUAAAGCACCUCUCUCCCUCCCUCCCUCCCUUUUGCCUGAGGAAGGUCACCGCCCUUGGUUUGCCUUUCUCCGUUCUCUUUCUCUUUCUCUUUCCUCCUCCUGCCACCCAGCGCCCUGGCCACAGUCACGCUUAACCUCCUCCGAUUCCAGCCUUUGCUGCCUUGCCCCUCGACCUGAUCCUGUCAUCUACUAACUGUUGUCGCUUUUUUUUCUUAGUUCUAAACAUUUAUUUGCUUUUUGGAGAUUUUGUCCAGUUUUCCUUUCCUUCCUUCCCGCUUCUAACAUAGAAUCAGCUGGGAAAAGUCACGAAGCUGAGUAGUACAGGUGUUCAAACUUUGUCUUGUUAUUAAAAAUGGCUUAUUGGGAGGAGAGAACCAAGAUGGCAGCAUAAGUAAAUGCCAGUACUCGCCGCCUCCCAUAUCCACUUCAAAAUUAAAACUAAAAUACAGAACAACCAUUAUUUGGAACUGCCUGAAAGCUGGCUGAAUGGAAGUCCUACAACUAGAGAAGUAAAGAAAGGGAGAUUGUCCCUGCAGAGGCCGCUGUGAGGAGCAGGGGGUCCCAGCCUCACACCAGAUGCCCCGCCCAGGGUCCGAGAACAGGGAAGAGAAGUCCUCUUAACUUUGGGCUGUAAGAAUCAGUGGGAAACAUGGAAACAUGGAACAGACUGACAAAUCUC